rnacentral:rRNA from 1 species
UCGCACGAGAACGUUCUGGCUUUGCCAGAACGAGUACAGUGGCGGACGGGUGCGUAUCGCGUAGAUAACCUGCCCUUAGGCGCGGGACAAUCACGGGAAACCGUGGCUAAUACCGCACGUCGUCUGGGCCCCGCAUGGGGACCAGAUGAAAGCUUGGGGUUACCCAGGCGCCUUGGGACGGGUCUGCGUUGGAUUAGCUUGUUGGUGAGGCAACGGCUCACCAAGGCAACGAUCCAUAGCUGGUCUGAGAGGACGAUCAGCCACACUGGGACUGAGACACGGCCCAGACUCCUACGGGAGGCAGCAGUGGGGAAUCUUGCACAAUGGGGUCACCCCUGAUGCAGCCAUGCCGCGUGGAGGAAGACACCCCUAUGGGGCGUAAACUCCUUUUCUGAAUGAAGAAACCCCUGUAGGUUCAGGGCGCGACGGUAGUUCAGGAAUAAGCACCGGCUAACUCCGUGCCAGCAGCCGCGGUAAUACGGAGGGUGCAAGCGUUGUCCGGAAUCACUGGGUGUAAAGGGUGUGCAGGCGGGGCAACAAGUCGGAUGUGAAACCCCAUGGCUCAACCAUGGAGGUGCAUUCGAAACUGUUGCUCUUGAGUCCCGGAGAGGCUGUCGGAAUUCGUGGUGUAGCGGUGAAAUGCGUAGAUAUCACGAGGAACACCAGAGGCGAAAGCGGGCAGCUGGACGGGUACUGACGCUCAGGCACGAAAGCGUGGGGAGCAAACAGGAUUAGAUACCC